CGGCGCACGGGUGCGUAACGCGUAUGCAAUCUACCUUUCACAGAGGGAUAGCCCAGAGAAAUUUGGAUUAAUACCUCAUAGUAUAUUGGUCUCGCAUGAGAUCAUUAUUAAAGAUUUAUCGGUGAAAGAUGAGCAUGCGUCCCAUUAGUUAGUUGGUAAGGUAACGGCUUACCAAGACUACGAUGGGUAGGGGUCCUGAGAGGGAGAUCCCCCACACUGGUACUGAGACACGGACCAGACUCC
rnacentral:rRNA from 1 species